rnacentral:rRNA from 1 species
CGUCAAAUCAUCAUGCCCCUUAUGACCUGGGCUACACACGUACUACAAUGGUCGGUACAGAGGGCGGCGAGGCCGCGAGGCGGAGCGAAUCCCAAAAAGCCGAUCUCAGUUCGGAUUGCAGGCUGCAACUCGCCUGCAUGAAGCCGGAAUUGCUAGUAAUCGCGGAUCAGCAUGCCGCGGUGAAUACGUUCCCGGGUCUU